rnacentral:rRNA from 1 species
AACGAACGCUGGCGGCAUGCCUAACACAUGCAAGUCGAACGAGACCUUCGGGCUUAGUGGCUCACGGGUUCGUAACGCGGGGGAACCUGCCCUUAGGUUCGGCAUAUCUCCCCGAAAUAGGUGCUAAUACCUGAUUAUGUCUUCGGACCAAAGAUUUAUCGCCUUUGGCUGGGCCCGCGUUGGAUUAGCUAGUUGGUAGGGUAAAAGCCUGCCAAGGCGAGGUUGCAUAGCUGGGCGGCGAGGCGGAUCAGCCACGCUGGGACUGAGACACGGCCCAGACUGGUACGGGAGGGAGGAGAGGAGAAUAUAGGACAAGGGGGGAAAGUGUGAUGCAGCAGUGCGGGGUGAGUGAUGAAGGGCGUAGGGUUGUAAAGCUCUUUUAGCCGAGAUGAUAAUGACAGUACCGGGAGAAUAAGCACCGGCUAACUCCGUG